rnacentral:rRNA from 1 species
GUAGGAGGCGAGCGUUAUCCGGAUUUAUUGGGCGUAAAGAGCGCGUAGGCGGCCUGUUAAGUCAGUUGUGAAAUCUCCCAGCUUAACUGGGAGGGGUCAACUGAAACUGAUGGGCUUGAGAGCAGCAGAGGGAGGUGGAAUUCCCGGUGUAGCGGUGAAAUGCGUAGAGAUCGGGAGGAACACCAGUGGCGAAGGCGGCCUCCUGGGCUGUUUCUGACGCUGAGGCGUGAAAGCGUGGGAAGCAAACAGGAUUAGAUACCCUGGUAGUCCACGCUGUAAACGAUGGGCACUUGGUGUUGCGGGUAUCGACCCCCCCCCUGCAGUGCCGAAGCUAACGCAUUAAGUGCCCCCCGCCUGGGAGUACGGUCGCAAGGCUG